GCAGUUUAUAGACAUUAAGAUGAUGAGGUGUUUUUAACAUUAUUACCUCAAAGAGUACUUCAGUUCCUAACAACUCAUCUUAAGUUGCUCCUAUGUCUAGGAGCUAGAACCCUUGAAAAGUGCAGCAAAAUCUAACCCACUUGCUUUAUCUGGAAUCCUGUAAGUUGAGAUGUUAUAGCUUUCAUGUUUUACUCGUCUCUUCUCUUUUUCACCCAAUAACACAAUCUCAUCUGAAACUUACUCUAAAGAAGUAAGCGGAACUGACUCUGAACUCUUAAUAUAAUAGAAAGGUCCUCUCUCUCAGGCAAUGCAUAUAAAUUAUGCCAUUUCAUUUAAACAUUUUAAAAAGUAGGAUAUAAACUUUUGAUGAAAGAUGCAAUCAAUAAAUACAUUUUUAUUAUGGUCAUGCUACUCUUACUGGGUGCUGAAAGCAGAUGAAAAACAGAAUGAUCUUUUUUUAAUAGCUUAUGAUUUAAAAGUCCAAGUCAAGAGACGCCAUAAAAUAAAAUGAAAAUCGGUGGCUUGCCAAAUACUUAAUCUAAUCCCUCUUUUCCAAAUGAUGCAAAAAAAUGGAGACAGGGGUUUAAAACCCAUCAAAUAUUGG
rnacentral:lncRNA from 1 species